rnacentral:rRNA from 1 species
UUGACGGGGGCCCGCACAAGCAGCCGGAGCGUGUGGUUUAUUUCGAUGCUACACGAAGAACCUUACCUGGGUUUGACAUGCACGUGGUAGGGAACCGAAAGGGGACCGACCUUCGGGAGCGUGCACAGGUGCUGCAUGGCUGUCGUCAGCUCGUGCCGUGAGGUGUCGGGUUAAGUCCCGUAACGAGCGCAACCCUUGCCCUUAGUUACAAGUGUCUAAGGGGACUGCCCGGGACAACUGGGAGGAAGGUGGGGAUGACGUCAAGUCAGCAUGGCCUUUAUAUCCAGGGCUACACACACGCUACAAUGGCCGGUACAAUAGGUUGCGAAGUCGUGAGGCGGAGCCAAUCCUCAAAGCCGGUCUCAGUUCGAAUUGCAGUCUGCAACUCGACUGCAUGAAGCUGGAGUUGCUAGUAAUCGCAGGUCAGCUAUACUGCGGUGAAUACGUUCCCGGGCCUUGUACACACCGCCCGUCACGUCAUGGAAGCUGGCAACGCCUGAAGCCGGUGAGCUAACCCGAAAGGGAGGCAGCCGUCGAGGGUGGGGCUGGUAACUGGGACGAAGUCGUAACAAGGUAACCAAGGGCGAA